GACGAACGCUGGCGGCGUGCUUAACACAUGCAAGUCGAACGGAAAGGCCCUGCUUGCGGGGUGCUCGAGUGGCGAACGGGGGAGUAAAACGCGGGUGAACUGCCCUGCACACCGGGAGAGGCCUGGAGAACAGUGUCGAAUACCCGGGAGGGGCCAUCUUUAGUGUGGGGGGGGGAAGGUUUUUUUCGUGUAGGAUGGGCUGGCGGGCUGUUUGCCUGGUUGUGGGGGGGUUGCCUACCAAGGAGGCGACGGGUGGGCGGCCUGCGAGGGUGGACGGCCACAUUGGGACUGGGAUACGGCCCAGACUCCCACGGGGGGGAGGAGGGGGGAAAAUUGCACAAUGGGCGCGAGCCUGAUGCAGCGACGCCGCGGGGGGGAUGACGGCCUUCGGGUUGGAAACUCGUUUCGCUAGGGACGAAGCUUUUUGUGACGGUACCUAGAGAAGAAGCACCGGCUAACUACGUG
rnacentral:rRNA from 1 species